rnacentral:rRNA from 1 species
CAGAGAUUUUACCUCGUACCUUUUGCAUCAUGAUUUAGCUAGUACCCCCUAAGCAAAAAGAAAUUUAGUUUAGUUCCCCGAAACUAAGUGAGCUACUCCAAGACAGCCUAUUAAUAGGGCGCACCCAUCUCUGUGGCAAAAGAGUGGGAAGAGCUUCGAGUAGAGGUGACAGACCUACCGAACUUAGUUAUAGCUGGUUGCCUGAGAAUUGGAUAGAAGUUCAGCCCUCUGCCUUCUUUAGUCAAACGAAAUCAUACCCAACCGACCAAAAGAAUGCAAAGGAGUUAGUUAAAGGAGGUACAGCUCCUUUAACACAAGAUACAACUUUACCAGGAGGAUUAAGAUCAUAAUAAAUCAAGGCAUCCGUGUUUUGGUGGGCCUAAAAGCAGCCAUCCUAAUAGAAAGCGUUAAAGCUCAGACACGAAACUUCCCACUAAUCCUGAUAAUACCUCUGAAUCCCCUAAUACUACCAGGCCCUCCUAUGCACCCAUAGGACUGAUUAUGCUAAUAU